UCCUCUCCAUCCCUCACCAGCCUCAUCUUUAGUUCAAUUCGCUUUCAAAAGACCUCAGCAUGGGACUCUUAGGUUUCUACUAAAUCAAGCAAACAAGCCCUAAAUGAAGCUGUCUGCUACUAACUGGUGGAAAUGCAUCUGCAGAGAAAUACUCAGAACAAAAUCAGGAGGCACCAUGACCACCACUGACAAUAGACCGGGACCAAACUUGGCACACAGAACCCCCAUGACCAACUAAGAAGGACUGAUCCACCAUAGUGGGAACUGUAGACAGCAUAGCCAGAGAGCACACUGAACCCCACCAAUGAUGCAUCCUGAGCAAACUUCCUCAAUAUGACAAACUACAGAGGCACCACCAUUGACAUCUUCUCCCAGUGUCCCACUGGAACUUCAUUUCCCAGUCAUUAUAUUAGUCAAAGCGAGCCUAUCCAAUAGCUUUCAAAAACAGGCUUGUGAAAUACAAUUCAGAAUCCUAAUGAUUUGUCUCUCCAAAAAGGAAGAGGAGAAUAAAACAAAAUGGAUUGAAUCGGCUGAAUAGAGACCUUGGCUUUGUGAGUCACACUAUCAGUCUCAAUAGCCUCUUGGUAUUUAACCCACUAUUGUCUCAAAAGUAUUUGAUGUGCUAAUUAGAGCCGAAGCUCACAAACCAAAGCAACACUUGCUUUCAAUGAACUAUACAAUGCAAACUGAGAUGAGCUACCCCAAUCCAUUCUCUGCAAGACCUAUUUAUUUGGACUGAAGGUUGGCAGCUAGAAUAAAA